ensembl:lncRNA
GCUAGUGCUGCACGGACAGCAUGAAAGGUUAUCUUUGACAAGGUUUUAGCUAUUAUUUUCUUCCAGUGAAAUGGUAUUUCUUGAGAAAAAAAGGUCUUUGGAACAAAAUAACAAUAAAUCCUGAUUUAGAUACAUAAACCUGCCAUUGAUAUCACAUAAUAUCAGUGUUCUUUCUCACUCGAUACAGGCGUUUUAAAGAUAAAUGGUAAACCCGAACUGGAAAUCCAUCUGGCCGGCUGCCUGCUCUAAUGAAUAACCCCACUUUGGCGCGUGCAAUGUAAGCAGAAAGUUCUCUCCCGGCCUCUUUCGUCUGUCAUGAAUCUACGAGACAGCCGACAUAAUAUCUGGGCGACAACGGGUGCGCUAACAGUGCAUCUGACAAGAAUCAGGACUGUUCCAGGGCUUUUGGAGCCCUCUUGUCUCUCCGGAUGGUGACAUUCUAUCUUGACAACUCAGAUCCAGCCACCAGGACCUGUGUCGGCAGCACAACAUAUGCAACCCCAUUUAAUUCUCACCGAAUCCUGAAGCUGAAACUCAAAGAAAAUAGAAUUUUAUGAAUAUUUCACAGCUAAGAAAUACAGGAAAAUGGAUUGAGACCCAGAGCUGCCUCAUUUUGAAGCUUACAUUCUUUUCAGUACACCAAACUAUAUCAAAGAUGUUUUUUGGAAGGCAGACUGGUGGGAGUUCGAGUGAAGAGAACCUGAAGCCCAGAGCAGAUCCUUGAAGGAAUAAGCCAGCCUACCAUAAGCUUGACCCAACCAUCAUCAUCACUACCAUCUUCACUUGGGAGAGUUAAUCCUCCCCUGCAUCAGGAAGAGAGAGAAAAAAGCACAAACAGAGAGAGGGAAAAGAAACUGAAGAAAAGAUGAAGGAAGAAGGCAAGAAAGAGGACACGGAUUCUUUUUCUCAGAAACAGAUGAAUUUUCUCUAGGCAGGCAAACUAUUUUUUUUAGAGCAAACUCCAUGGUGGUCUUGGGGGUGAUAGGAAGGACUCAUUGUGGAUUUUGUCAAAGUGGUUACUGGCUUUUUAAUGUUGAGUAACCUUCAGAGGUGGUACAUCUGCUGGAGCAUCUCUUCAUUUGGGAACAUCACACAGUGACAGAAAGCACCCGGGUUUGAAUCCCAGCCACUCACUAUAACAGAUCUGUGACUUGGGACAAGUCCUUGAAUUUCUCUGAGCCUCAAUCUCAACAAGAGUCAAAGGAGAUAAUGAUGCUAACUGGGAACAUUGGAUCAUGACAAGUCAAAUUAUGUAUCACCAGGCAAUCACACGCCAAGAGCUCCUUUCUCACUUUCUUCCACACUUUUACUUUUCACAGGUGGCAGGAAGCUUCAUUUUCUUCAGGACAUGACUUCAUUUUUAAAAUUAGAGUGCAAUAUUUUGACAAAGUUCAAUGAUUUGACAAAGUAUCCCUAGGUACUGAGGACUGAAAGGCAUUGCCCAGUCCCUUAUGGGGAAUCACAGUUCAGUGAAAAAGACAGGAAUGGUAACGGAGUAAUGUGCAAAAAUGUCAAAAAGAGAGAACUGGGUACAAUGCUGUGUGUGUUCCCAAAUAAGGGAGGGAAAAAUCUAUUUGAAGAGGGUGCAGCAGAGGAAUAACCCUUGAGAUGGGUUUUAUGAGUACAUGCUUGCCAGGCAAAGACAGGAAAGGAGAGUUCCUGGCAUGAGUUAGCGCUUGGUCCAUUGGUGGUUGGGUGAAGGUUAAUAUUUGGCGUAAGAGUCC